rnacentral:rRNA from 1 species
UACGAAGGGGGCUAGCGUUGCUCGGAAUCACUGGGCGUAAAGGGUGCGUAGGCGGGUCUUUAAGUCAGGGGUGAAAUCCUGGAGCUCAACUCCAGAACUGCCUUUGAUACUGAAGAUCUUGAGUUCGGGAGAGGUGAGUGGAACUGCGAGUGUAGAGGUGAAAUUCGUAGAUAUUCGGAAGAACACCAGUGGCGAAGGCGGCUCACUGGACUGGUAUUGACGCUGAGGUGCGAAAGCGUGGGAAGCAAACAGG